UUUUCUGUUACUGUUGGUUCUGAUUUGAGGAACAACAAUCCAAAAUGUGGCAAAAUGGAUCAGUUGAUCGUUGUUGUUGAUGAUCCAGAAGGCAAAUGAUGUUGAUUCUUUAGAAAAAAUAGCAUGGAAGUAGCUUUGUAAGCUGAGUAAAGGAGGGAUUGCAAAAUGGUGGUCACUAAGAAAACUAAAAAGGCUCACGAGAGCAUCAACAACAGGUGGCUCUUGUGAUGAAAAGUGGAAAAUAUACGCAUGCUCCAUUUUGUAUUGCAGGUGUUGUUUUGGAGGAUUGACUAACAGUUUGACAAGUGCUUUGAUGGGGAGUUAAGAUCAUUGACAGUGAUACUACUAUGCUUUUUUCAAAUUGAGAAGAUGGGGAAUGCUUUGCUAUGAUGUGUAUAGUGCAGUCAUGGAGAUCCAACAAUAAAAGUGAUGAAAAUGGAUGGGAAGAUUUUGAAGUAUGAAGGCCCAAUAUAUACAAAGGAGAUUCAAUGCAACUACCCAAAUGAUGCCAUCUUCCAUUCUGAUUCAUUCAUCGUUUUGGAGGGCAUUGCAGGCGUUUGGGGGGUAAUACGGAGUUAAGGGUAGGGGAGCUAUAUUAUUUGAUCUCUCAUCCUCCUACAAAUUCCCAUGAGUUUUUGGAUAGUAGCUCCUCUAAGACUCAGAAUUAGACCCACCAUAAGAGAUGCCUUCCUCGAUCUUUGUCUGCUUUAAGAGAUAAGAAGCCUUCCAUACAAAUCAUUCCUUCUCCAUCACAAGAUGGGGUGGUGAGAUUAAAGAUAAUGAUAUCUUAGAAAUAGCUUACUACUCUUAUGUCUGAAAGCACAAAUGCCAUGAAUAUGGUGGAGAGUAUCGUCACCCCACUUUUGAUAGAAAUAGAAGCAGGCAACCCACCAAAGACUUCUUAUUUUUCUUCUCCUGUUGUGGCUAUAAGUGGAGGUGGGGGUUAUUCAUGGAAGCCUGAACUGGAGACCAUUCUCGAAAUCAAAGUCACCUUGUAUGUUUUCCAC